rnacentral:rRNA from 1 species
CCUACGGGAGGCAGCAGUGGGGAAUAUUGGGCAAUGGGCGCAAGCCUGACCCAGCAACGCCGCGUGAAGGAAGAAGGCUUUCGGGUUGUAAACUUCUUUUAAGGGGGAAGAGCAGAAGACGGUACCCCUUGAAUAAGCCAUGGCUAACUACGUGCCAGCAGCCGCGGUAAUACGUAGGUGGCAAGCGUUGUCCGGAUUUACUGGGUGUAAAGGGCGUGCAGCCGGAGAGACAAGUCAGAUGUGAAAUCCACGGGCUCAACCCGUGAACUGCAUUUGAAACUGUUUCCCUUGAGUGUCGGAGAGGGAAUCGGAAUUCCUGGUGUAGCGGUGAAAUGCGUAGAUAUAAGGAAGAACACCAGUGGCGAAGGCGGAUUACUGGACGAUAACUGACGGUGAGGCGCGAAAGCGUGGGGAGCAAACAGGAUUAGAUACCCGAGUAGUC